AUGCUGGCGGCAUGCCUAAUACAUGCAAGUCGAGCGGUAGCAUGGCUUCACCGUUCUCUUGACACACUUGGCUAUUAUGCGAGUGGUAAGAUUCGAGGGAACUGUGAAGCUGAUGACGAGCGGCGGACGGCUGAGUAACGCGUGAGAACAUACCCCAAAGUGAGGGAUAACUAGUCGAAAGAUUAGCUAAUACCGCAUGUGAUCUUUGGAUUAAAGCAUUUAUGCGCUUUGGGAAUGGCUUGCGUACGAUUAGAUAGUUGGUGAGGUAAAGGCUCACCAAGUCGACGAUCGUUAGAUGGUUUGAGAGGAUGAUCAUCCAGACUGGGACUGAGACACGGCCCAGACUCCUACGGGAGGCAGCAGUAGGGAAUCUUUCACAAUGGGCGAAAGCCUGAUGGAGCAAUGCCGCGUGCAGGACGAAGGCCUUCGGGUUGUAAACUGCUUUUAUAAGCGAGAAAUAUGAUGGUAACUUAUGAAUAAGGAUCGGCUAACUACGUGCCAGCAGCCGCGGUCAUACGUAGGAUCCGAGCAUUAUCCGGAGUGACUGGGUGUAAAGAGUUGCGUAGGUGGCAAGAUAAGUAGAUAGUGAAAUCUGGUGGCUCAACCAUUCAGACUAUUAUCUAAACUAUCUAGCUCGAGACUGUUAUGGGUAACUGGAAUUUCUAGUGUAGGAGUGAAAUCCGUAGAUAUUAGAAGGAACACCGAUAGCGUAGGCAGGUUACUGGGACAGUUCUGACACUAAGGCACGAAAGCGUAGGGAGCAAACGGGAUUAGAUACCCCGGUAGUCUACGCCGUAAACGAUGGAUACUAGCAGUUUUGGGUAUCGACCCCCGGAGUUGCGAAGCUAACGCGUUAAGUAUCCCACCUGUGUAGUACGAUCGCAAGAUUAAAACAUAAAGGAAUUGACGG
rnacentral:rRNA from 1 species